GACGGGGCCCGCACAAGCCGUGGAGCAUGUGGUUUAAUUCGAAGCAACGCGAAGAACCUUACCAGGCCUUGACAUGCAGAGAACUCUCCAGAGAUGGAUUGGUGCCUUCGGGAACUCUGACACAGGUGCUGCAUGGCUGUCGUCAGCUCGUGUCGUGAGAUGUUGGGUUAAGUCCCGUAACGAGCGCAACCCUUGUCCUUAGUUACCAGCACGUUAUGGUGGGCACUCUAAGGAGACUGCCGGUGACAAACCGGAGGAAGGUGGGGAUGACGCCAAGUCAUCAUGGCCCUUACGGCCUGGGCUACACACGUGCUACAAUGGUCGGUACAAAGGGUUGCCAAGCCGCGAGGUGGAGCUAAUCCCAUAAAACCGAUCGUAGUCCGGAUCGCAGUCUGCAACUCGACUGCGUGAAGUCGGAAUCGCUAGUAAUCGUGAAUCAGAAUGUCACGGUGAAUACGUUCCCGGGCCUU
rnacentral:rRNA from 1 species